GUCAGACGGCCGCGCGGUAUCAUGCCGAAAGGUCAUACCGUGAGGAAAGUCCGGGCUUCACAGGGCAGGAUAGCUGAUAACGUCAGCCGCAGGCGACUGCCGGGAAAGUGCAACAGAAAUAGACCGCCCGCUUUACGGCGGGUAAGGAUGGAAAGGCGAGGUAAGAGCUCACCAGUUUCCAUGGUAACAUGGAUCCGCUGUAAACCCUAUCCGAAGCAACACCGCAUGGGGAUCGUUUGCCCGACACAUAUCCCCGGGUGGCACGCGGCGAAAGCCGCGGAGCGGCGCGGCGACGCGCCGCAAAGACAGAUGGUCGUCCACGACAGAACCCGGCUUACAGAU
rnacentral:RNase_P_RNA from 1 species